rnacentral:rRNA from 1 species
AAUGAACGUUGGCGGCGUGGAUUAGGCAUGCAAGUCGAGCGAGAACCCCGCAAGGGGGGACAGCGGCGAAAGGGACAGGAAUGUGUAGAUUAUCUGCCCUCAGGUCCGGGAUAGCUGCGGGAAACUGCAGGUAAUACCGGAUAACAUCUCCGGAUCAAAGGUGUGAUUCCGCCUGAGGAUGAGUCUGCAUCCUAUUAGCUAGUUGGUGGGGUAAUGGCCUACCAAGGCAUUGAUGGGUAGCAGGUGUGAGAGGACGACCUGCGUCAUUGGGACUGAGACACUGCCCAGACACCUACGGGUGGCUGCAGUCGAGAGUCUUCGGCAAUGGGCGCAAGCCUGACCGAGCGACGCCGCGUGUGGGAUGAAGGCCUUCGGGUUGUAAACCACUGUCAGAGGGGAUGAAAUGCAGGUGGGUUCUCCCAUCUGUUUGACAUAGCCGCAGAGGAAGGACGGGCUAAGUUCGUG